UGAGGAGGGUAUCAGGAAGAUGGCACCAAGCCACCAGGUAUGGUGGAAGGACAAGAGACAAUGGACAGAAACUGAAACAAGGACGGUUGUAUCCAAGUGGAUACCAGGAAAAGCUGUUUCACCCUGAGGGCUGUGAGGCAGUGGAAGAGGGUGCAUGGAGAGGAUGUGUCAUCUCUAUGCUUGGAGGUUUUCAAGAUCUGUCUAGAUAAAGCUUGAAGCAACAUCAUCUGAUCUCACAGCUGAGCCUGCUGUAAGCAGGAUGAUAUAUCUAACGUGAUUUACCCUCUGAUUCAUGCUGGAUAUAAGGGAAUCUCUACCUUCUUCUGACCUCCUUAAAGCACUGGGGUGAAGCUUUUCUUUUCUGCAGCUCUGAGUCCAAGGUGGCAAAGACAGAAGACAAGACCUGGAUUCAAAUCUCUUGUCCAAACCAAGCAGUGGGAGGACCUGAGCAAGCUUGGGAGGACACUUGCACCUGGCACCUUCUUCUUCACAUGGCAUUUGCUCCCAGGCUUUUAUGCUACAAACAGAAAGGAAUGGGCAUCAGAUACAUUUCAGAGAUAAAGGCCUUGCUAACUUGCUUACUUGAAGGUGGAAAUUAA
rnacentral:lncRNA from 1 species